rnacentral:rRNA from 1 species
UACGUAGGGCGCAAGCGUUAUCCGGAAUUAUUGGGCGUAAAGAGCUCGUAGGCGGUUUGUCGCGUCUGCCGUGAAAGUCCGGGGCUCAACUCCGGAUCUGCGGUGGGUACGGGCAGACUAGAGUGAUGUAGGGGAGACUGGAAUUCCUGGUGUAGCGGUGAAAUGCGCAGAUAUCGCUUGGAACGCCGAAGGUGAAAACAGGUUGCUGGGAGUGCGCCGACGCUGAGACACGAAAGCCAGGGGAGCGAACGGG